rnacentral:rRNA from 1 species
GAUAAACGCUGGCGGCGUGCCUAAUGCAUGCAAGUCGAACGGAUGUUUUUCGCAAGAGAAGCAUUAGUGGCAAACGGGUGAGUAACACGUGGGGAUCUGCCCAGUAGUGGGGAACAACUCCGAGAAAUCGGAGCUAAUACCGCAUACGGUAGUUGUGGGGACACAAGCUACUAAAGCUAGAAAUAGCGCUAUUGGAGGAACCUGCGGCUGAUUAGCUAGUUGGUGGGGUAAAGGCCUACCAAGGCGAUGAUCGGUAGCUGGUCUGAGAGGAUGGACA